AACGAACGCUGGCGGCAUGCCUAACACAUGCAAGUCGAACGAGACCUUCGGGUCUAGUGGCGCACGGGUGCGUAACGCGUGGGAACCUGCCCUUAGGUUCGGAAUAACUCCCCGAAUGGGGUGCUAAUACCGGAGAAUGUCUUCCGACCAAAGAUUUAUCGCCUUUGGAUGGGCCCGCGUUGGAUUAGCUAGUUGGUAGGGUAAAAGCCUACCAAGGCGAGGAUACAUAGCUGGUCUGAGAGGAUGAUCAGCCACACUGGGAGUGAGACACGGCCCAGACUCCUACGGGAGGCAGCAGUGGGGGAUAUUGGAAAAUGGGCGAAAGGCUGAUGCAGCAAUGACGGGUGAGUGAUGAAGGCCUUAGGGUUGUAAAGCUCUUUUACCCGGGAUGAUAAUGACAGUACCGGGAGAAUAAGCACCGGCUAACUCCGUG
rnacentral:rRNA from 1 species